AAAGCGGGGGCAACCUCGUGAGUAAAGUGGCGUACGGGUGAGUAACACGUGGGUAAUCUACCUCUUGGUGGGGAAUAACGCUGGGAAACCGGCGCUAAUACCGCAUAAGCUCGGGAGAGGAAAGCAGCAAUGCGCCGAGAGAGGAACCCGCGGCCGAUUAGCUAGUUGGUGAGGUAACGGCCCACCAAGGCUAAGAUCGGUAGCCGGCCUGAGAGGGCACACGGCCACACUGGCACUGAAACACGGGCCAGACUCCUACGGGAGGCAGCAGUGGGGAAUCUUGCACAAUGGGGGCAACCCUGAUGCAGCGACGCCGCGUGAGCGAUGAAGCCCUUCGGGGUGUAAAGCUCUUUCGGCAGGGAAGAAUCAUGACGGUACCUGCAGAAGCAGCUGCGGCUAACUACGUGCCAGCAGCCGCGGUAAUACGUAGGCAGCGAGCGUUGUUCGGAGUUACUGGGCGUAAAGGGCGUGUAGGCGGUCCUCUAAGUUUGGUGUGAAGUCUCCCGGCUCAACCGGGAGGGUGCGCCGAAAACUGGGGGACUAGAGUGCGGGAUGGGAAAGUGGAAUUCCUGGUGUAGCGGUGAAAUGCGUAGAUAUCAGGAGGAACACCGGUGGUGUAGACGGCUUUCUGGACCGUAACUGACGCUGAGACACGAAAGCGUGGGUAGCAAACAGGAUUAGAUACCCUGGUAGUCCACGCCCUAAACGAUGCAUAUUUGGUGUAGGUCAUUCAGUUGAUCUGUGCCGGAGCUAACGCGUUAAAUAUGCCGCCUGGGGAGUACAGUCGCAAGGCUGAAACUCAAAGGAAUUGAC
rnacentral:rRNA from 1 species